AGCUCCGGGGCCGCGCAGCCCCUCCGUCCCCCCCCCCCCCCUCACUCCCCAUUUCCCCCCCGGGACCCCCCGCCCCUCACCCUCCUUUCUGCCCCUCGUGCGGCCGCAGCGCAGCUCCGCGCGCCCCUCCCCCUCCGCGGCGCUCCGCCGGCGCUACUUCCUCUUAAAGGGGCCGCGCCCCGCGCUGCGCUUCUUCCUCUUAAAGGGGCCGCGCUGCGCUGCGCUGCGAACGCCCUCCUCGUAGGGCGGGGCGGGACGCCGGAGGGUCGCAGUCGGACGUGCUCGUGGCCGGAGCUGUGAGAGCCGCAGUGGGGCACAGAGCUGCAGCGAUGCGGCCAAAGGCUCAGCACAGCGCUGGGAGGAGGAAGGAGAAGUGGAAGGAGGCGCAGCUCCGACACAACGGCUCUUAUGGCAGUAAGGAGCGAUUUUCUGCAGGAGGAGAGCCUGCCGUGCUGCUGGGAGCAGCGAUGCACAGCACCGUGCAGUUCAGGCCCUGCCGCUCCCCCCAUUGACCCCACGGCCCUUGCUGGACAGUGCAGCCCCACAGUGCAGCAUUGUGGCCCAACAACCCACUGCCUCUGUCUGCGGGAGGAGCUCCGUGCAGACGCAGUGACAGCGACUCUGCAAAGGCGAUGGGUUUUUCCUCCGUGCAAAGCCGGCAGCUCACAGCUGCUGCGGCAGAGAGGACUUCGCACCUCCGCAGCGCUCUCAGCUCCCCCACGUGCAGCAUAAGGGCACAGACACAGCGCUGCCCUCCAGCAGCCGCACGGGGGAUAUCCGGCAUUACAGAGCCGCACCAUCCCUGCACCCACACCACUGAACGGCGCCGAAGGGUUCAACUUUGUUUUGAAAGUUUAUUGGAUCAUCUCGACACAAAAUCAUUACAGCAGCUUGUGGGAUGUUCUCUUUGUUCUUUUGUCUUUUUUUUUUUUUCCUCUUUUCUUUUUCAAGGGAAUGUCGAUAGCAAAUAAAUCUGUGAAUGUAACACAUCA